AAAAAGGUGAGGUUUUGUUUU
rnacentral:miRNA from 1 species